UACGGAGGGUGCAAGCGUUAUCCGGAUUCACUGGGUUUAAAGGGUGCGUAGGCGGGCAGGUAAGUCCGUGGUGAAAUCCUGCAGCUUAACUGCAGAACUGCCAUGGAUACUAUUUAUCUUGAAUAUCGUGGAGGUUAGCGGAAUAUGUCAUGUAGCGGUGAAAUGCUUAGAUAUGACAUAGAACACCCAUUGCGAAGGCAGCUAACUACGCGAUAAUUGACGCUGAUGCACGAAAGCGUGGGGAGUCAA
rnacentral:rRNA from 1 species